GAGAAUGUGGCUUAGUUGUAGAGUGCUUGCCUUGCAUGCAAGAAGGCGCGGGUUCAAUUCCUCACUACCA
rnacentral:tRNA from 1 species